rnacentral:rRNA from 1 species
AAUGAACGCUGGCGGCAUGCCUUACACAUGCAAGUCGAACGGCAGCAUGACCUAGCUUGCUAGGUUGAUGGCGAGUGGCGAACGGGUGAGUAAUGCAUCGGAACGUGCCUUUUAGUGGGGGAGAACGUAGCGAAAGUUACGCUAAUACCGCAUAUUCGCUGAGGAGGAAAGCAGGGGGCCUUCGGGCCUUGCGCUAGAAGAGCGGCCGAUGUCGGAUUAGCUAGUUGGUGAGGUAAAGGCUCACCAAGGCAACGAUCCGUAGCGGGUCUGAGAGGAUGAUCCGCCACACUGGAACUGAGACACGGCCCAGACUCCUACGGGAGGCAGCAGUGGGGAAUUUUGGACAAUGGGCGCAAGCCUGAUCCAGCCAUGCCGCGUGAGUGAAGAAGGCCUUCGGGUUGUAAAGCUCUUUCGGCUGGGAAGAAAUCGCGCUCGCUAAUACAGGGUGUGGAUGACGGUACCAGAAUAAGAAGCACCGGCUAACUACGUG